rnacentral:rRNA from 1 species
UGGGGAAACCCACUGGCAUAAGCCAGUAUCAUUGAGUGAAUACAUAGCUCAAUGAAGCGAACCGGGAGAACUGAAACAUCUAAGUACCCCGAGGAAAAGAAAUCAACCGAGAUUCCGAAAGUAGCGGCGAGCGAAAUUGGAUUAGCCCUUAAGCUUUACAUGUGUUAGACGAACGGUCUGGAAAGUCCGACGAUACAGGGUGAUAGUCCCGUAGUUGUAGAUGCAUGUUCAGUGAAAUCGAGUAGGGCGGGACACGUGUUAUCCUGUCUGAAUAUGGGGGGACCAUCCUCCAAGGCUAAAUACUCCUGACUGACCGAUAGUGAACCAGUACCGUGAGGGAAAGGCGAAAAGAACCCCUGUGAGGGGAGUGAAAUAGAACCUGAAACCGUGUACGUACAAGCAGUAGGAGCACCUUCGUGGUGUGACUGCGUACCUUUUGUAUAAUGGGUCAGCGACUUAUAUUCAGUGGCAAGGUUAACCAUCUAGGGGAGCCGUAGGGAAACCGAGUCUUAACUGGGCGCCAUAGUCUCUGGAUAUAGACCCGAAACCGAGUGAUCUAGCCAUGGGCAGGUUGAAGGUUGAGUAACAUCAACUGGAGGACCGAACCGACUAAUGUUGAAAAAUUAGCGGAUGACUUGUGGCUAGGGGUGAAAGGCCAAUCAAACUCGGAGAUAGCUGGUUCUCCCCGAAAGCUAUUUAGGUAGCGCCUCGGACGAAUACUACUGGGGGUAGAGCACUGUUAAGGCUAGGGGGUCAUCCCGACUUACCAACCCUUUGCAAACUCCGAAUACCAGUAAGUACUAUCCGGGAGACACACGGCGGGUGCUAACGUCCGUCGUGGAGAGGGAAACAACCCAGACCGCCAGCUAAGGUCCCAAAUUACAGCUAAGUGGGAAACGAUGUGGGAAGGCUUAGACAGCUAGGAUGUUGGCUUAGAAGCAGCCAUCAUUUAAAGAAAGCGUAAUAGCUCACUAGUCGAGUCGGCCUGCGCGGAAGAUGUAACGGGGCUAAGUU